rnacentral:ncRNA from 1 species
UAAAGAUUUGAUUUUAGUCUUUAAAUUUAAUUUAUAUUUUAAUUAUAUGUAAAUGAUUGUGUGUGUAGUUAUUUAAAUAGUAAUAUUAUAGAAUUAUUUAGCAAUAAUAAAUUUUUUACAAUAAAAGAAAUUUUGAUAUAGGAAUAUAUAAAAGUAUUGAUAAAAUUUGUGCCAGCAAUCGCGGUUAAACAGGUGAUACAAUUAAAUUUUAUUUAGUAAAUAAUAAAUAAUUUAAAAUUUAUUUAAUUAAAAAUUAAGUUUAUUAGGUGAAAUUAUAAAUUUAAAUAAAGUUAAUAAAUGGUUUAUAAGGUUAUGAAAUUUCAUUAUUAAACUAGGAUUAGAUACCCUAUUAUAAGAAAUAUAAAUUAAAAAUUCUAGGGGAGUAGUAGUUAUGUUCUUGAAAUUUAAAAGAUUUGGCGGUAUUUUAGUCUUUUCAGAGGAACCUGUUCUAUAAUUGAUAAUCCACGAUUAAUUGUACUUAAUUUAAUAGUUUAUAUAUCGUCGUAGGUUGAAUAUCUUAAAAGAGUUAAAAUGUUCAUGAUUUUUAAUAAAAUUAAUAAAAAGGAAAUCAGAUCAAGGUGUAGCUUAUAAUUAAGAAGAAAUGGGUUACAAUAAAUUUAUUUAAAUGGAUAUAAUAAUUAAAAUUAUUAUUAAAAGUGGAUUUGAAAGUAAUAUGUUUAAUUUAAAAUAUAUGAUUUUAGCUCUAAAAUAUGUACAUAUCGCCCGUCGCUUUCAUUGAAUUAUAAAAUGAAAUAAGUCGUAACAUAGUGGGUGUACCGGAAGGUGUACCUAGGUUGAU